CACGUAGUUAGCCGGCGCUUCUUAUCCAGCUACCGUCAACCCACCCACCAAGGGCAGGCCUGCUUCACUGGCGAAAGAGGUUCACAACCCGAAGGCCUCCAUCCCUCACGCGGCGUCGCUGCAUCAGGCUUGCGCCCAUUGUGCAAUAUUCCCCACUGCUGCCUCCCGUAGGAGUCUGGGCCGUGUCUCAGUCCCAGUGUGACCGUCCACCCUCUCAGGCCGGCUACCCGUCACCGCCUUGGUAGGCCAUCACCCCACCAACAAGCUGAUAGGCCGCGAGCCCAUCCCCCACCGAAACAAUAUCUUUCCCGAGCCCACCAUGCGACAGACCCAGAAUAUCCCGUAUUAGCCACACUUUCAUGCGGUUAUCCAGAAGAAGGGGCAGGUUACUCACGUGUUACUCACCCGUUCGCCACUCAUCCAGAACCAGCAAAAACCAGUCCCUUCACCGUUCGACUUGCAUGUGUUAAGCACGCCGCCAGCGUUCGUCCUCGAGCC
rnacentral:rRNA from 1 species